UGGGGAAUUUUGGACAAUGGGCGAAAGCCUGAUCCAGCAAUGCCGCGUGUGUGAAGAAGGCCUUCGGGUUGUAAAGCACUUUUGUCCGGAAAGAAAUCCUUGGCUCUAAUACAGUCGGGGGAUGACGGUACCGGAAGAAUAAGCACCGGCUAACUACGUGCCAGCAGCCGCGGUAAUACGUAGGGUGCAAGCGUUAAUCGGAAUUACUGGGCGUAAAGCGUGCGCAGGCGGUUUGCUAAGACCGAUGUGAAAUCCCCGGGCUCAACCUGGGAACUGCAUUGGUGACUGGCAGGCUAGAGUAUGGCAGAGGGGGGUAGAAUUCCACGUGUAGCAGUGAAAUGCGUAGAGAUGUGGAGGAAUACCGAUGGCGAAGGCAGCCCCCUGGGCCAAUACUGACGCUCAUGCACGAAAGCGUGAGGAGCAAACAGGAUUAGAUACCCUGGUAGUCCACGCCCUAAACGAUGUCAACUAGUUGUUGGGGCAUUCAUUUCCUUAGUAACGUAGCUAACGCGUGAAGUUGACCGCCUGGGGAGUACGGUCGCAAGAUUAAAACUCAAAGGAAUUGACGGGGUCAUAGCUGUUUCCU
rnacentral:rRNA from 1 species